rnacentral:rRNA from 1 species
CAGCCGCCACGGUAAUACGAACCGUGCGAACGUUAUUCGGAAUCACUGGGCUUAAAGCGCGUGUAGGCGGGACGGCACGUCGACUGCUGAAAUCCCUCGGCUUAACCGAGGAAGUGGCAUCGAUACGACCGUCCUGGAGGAACGUAGGGGGACCUGGAACUUCCGGUGGAGCGGUGAAAUGCGUUGAGAUCGGAAGGAACGCCCGUGGCGAAAGCGAGGUCCUGGACGUUUUCUGACGCUGAGACGCGAAAGCUAGGGGAGCGAACGGGAUUAGAUACCCCCGUAGUCCCUGUCUCUUAUU